CAUUUUCUUAAUUUUUAUAUUUUGAAUUUCAAAAAACAUAUAUGUUGCUCUUUAAAAAUUUUAAAUUGAUGCAUUUAAUUUACGACAGUUAGGAUUUGUUACUAUUUUGUCAAUUACUUAUAAUUUUUACCCAAAAACAUCUUUAAAAAUAAUAAAAAUAUACCGACAGUCCCUAGAGCAAGUGACAAAGGACUUGAUGGUUGGUACCCGAGAUCCAAGUUCGAAUCCUAGUUGAUUCAUAUUUCCAGCUAAAUUUAUUUCUAAAUGAAAUAAACGAAGCUACAGGGUAGUGUGCUACCUAUAUCUCAAAAAAAAUAAUAAUAAUGAUAUAUAUUAUAUUUUUUAUUAUAUAAUAAGUAAGAAAAUUUUGGUCAUUUCACCCUUUUCAUUAAUACUAUAACUCUUUCAAAAUAUUUGCGAAACUCAAAAUAAAGAUUUUGAAAAGUCGGAAAAGAAGAGUAAAAAAUAUAAAUAUUUACACAGAAUUUUCCGUAUUUUAGCAUACCAAAAACCCUUCUUGUACUUUAUGUCUCUAUUAU
rnacentral:lncRNA from 1 species